GCCAAGAUGGCCGAGCGGUUAAGGCGGUGGUUUUAAGCACCAUCGAAAGAUUCCAGGGUUCGAAUCCCUGUCUUGGCA
rnacentral:tRNA from 1 species